rnacentral:rRNA from 1 species
GGGAGUAACUAUUGGAAACGAUAGCUAAUACCGCAUAAGAACAUUUACUGCAUGGUAGAUGUUUAAAAGGUGCAAAUGCAUCACUACCGGAUGGACCUGCGUUGUAUUAGCUAGUAGGUGAGGUAACGGCUCACCUAGGCGACGAUACAUAGCCGACCUGAGAGGGUGAUCGGCCACACUGGGACUGAGACACGGCCCAG